AUGCCCUGGAAGACCUACAGGCAAGCAUGUCUUCACCUAAUCCGCCGUUCAAAGGUUCUCCCCUCCCAGCGUUCAAUACUUUGUCCGCCCUUCUCUCUGCCCUCUCUCAGGCAACUCCAGCCGUCUUCAGCACUAUUUCAUUCUCCCCUAAGAAAUUCGUGUUUCCUCUGGGAUAAUUUUCUUCAAUCCGCUUGCUUCAUCAGCCCUCUUAUUAUGAGAUGUCAAAUUUCCCUUGUUAUUACCACCUUUCAGAAGGUUUUACCUAACUCAUUUCCAACCACUCGAUUAUUUCCUGUGAGCGAUCAGCUCUAUGGUCAACACAAACCACUCAAAUCUGUAUCCCAGACCACACUGAGAAAUCUCCCAAUUAACUAUUCAACAGUCAGUUGUCCUCCCACUUUCUUCAGUCUUUUCCUACCUGUUGCAAAGAGAGACUACGAACCAAUGCUGUCAUCUCUUCUAGGGUUAUCUUCUCAAUGGUUCUUUUAUUUAUUCUUGUUUAACAGACAAAGAUCUCUUGAUAGACUUACAUCCCAAAGCCAAUAUCCAAAUACCAGGGUAACAAAAACGUAUCUAAGUGCCUAAACUCAUGGCAGUGAGAGUAACGUGUUUUGACUUCAUCUCCAGAGAAGCAGCUCAGAGAAAUAUUAGUAGAGGCAAACAACACACUGACAGGGUAGCAAGUGCUCAGUGACGGAGACAAAAACCAUCAAGGCAGCUCCCGGGCUCUCCAAGGGGCUCAGAAUCCACUCCACCUCCCCAGGCAGACCCGCCGGUAGAACACGAUGCAGCCGCNNNNNNNNNNNNNNNNNNNNNNNNNNNNNNNNNNNNNNNNNNNNNNNNNNNNNNNNNNNNNNNNNNNNNNNNNNNNNNNNNNNNNNNNNNNNNNNNNNNGGCAGACCCGCCGGUAGAACACGAUGCAGCCGCUGGAAACAGCAAAUUCCAGAUUCUAUGACUUUGAUGUAAAGAUCUGUUCUAAGCACUGUUUGUGCAACAAGUAUUAGAGAUAUUCAUGUGCCUGUCAUGAAUGGGGCUAAAAAUUCCAAGGGUACGUCUUCUGAAUAUUUUCCACGUCGCAGUCUGUAACACCGUUUACCAAACAACAACAGACUGGAACCCUAGUCCAAAGAUUUGGUUUGUGACUAUGAGAAAUUUUAAAGCACUUUGAAAAGUCACCAAUUGCUUUCUUAAAUGCUUCAUUACACACUUCUAGGGUAACUGGCCUUAGCCUACUCAUGGGUUUCAAAUCACCAAUGCCUUUUUUGGUUCAGAUACACUUUGCAUACCUGCCCACUCUGCAUUUCAGAACUGCUAUGAAAACGUAAGAGGAAACUUGAAGGUCUUAUUUCUUUUGAAUCGAUGUGCUGACACUGCUGGUAUGGGAGGCAACUCCCCAAGACAAGUCUUCUGUGAAGGAAGCUCAAGAAAAAGUGUUCUGAUGACAAAGACCUUUCCUCCCACCCACAGAGAUGAACAGAGGUGAAACUCAGGUUGUUAGGUGACAGGGUGCAUUCCAGGCACUACUCAGUUAACGGGCUCUGUGCAUCCAGCCCUCCCCACCCUUUUGCUCUCUUUGCUUCUCCUCAAUUCCAGUGCUCAGAAGAAGGAGAGAAGUGUAGCCACGAUUCCUGAUUCAGAAAGGAGGAGAGGGGCUUCCUUGGAAGUCCAGAGGCAAAGACUCUGAACUCCCAGUGCAGGGGGGCACAGGUUCAAUCCCUGGCCGGGGAACUAGAUCCCACAUACCACAACAAGAAGAUUCCACAUGCCGCAACAAAGAUUGAAGACCCCAAGGGCAGCAACUAAGACCUGGCACAGCCAGAUGAAUGAACGAAUGAAGAAAUAAACGGGAGAGGGGACAGCUACUGCUUUCCCAGCCUCAUGGCCACAGCUGAUGUCAUCUCUUCUUCCUCCUCCUCACAGCACUGCCAUCACUGAGCAGUAAACACAGUAUACAAACUAGCAAACCACAAUCCCACGAUUAAAAAGGAGGCAGGAGACCUGCGCCAGACACAGCUAAGUGAGUGAACAUCAGAGUUCUUGCAACAUCCUAGAAAAAUAAAGGUUACUGCCUUUACUGCUCCUUGGGUUUUACUUCCAUAAAGCCAUGUGCAUUUUCUUCUUACAACUAACUAACUGACAGCACCAGGGAUGCUAGGUUAUCAAGCAUAAUACCCAAUACUGUUCAGAAUGAACUGUUUCGUAAGAAUAGCUAAUACAUUUAUUUUGGCUUAUGUGCAGGGCUGGCUGUAGAACUUGGGGAAGUCAGGUAACUUCUAUGCUACCCACGAAAGGUGUUAAUUUUCCCAUUUUAUUGUCCAAACUUCUCUGGAAACUUUUCCUAUUUGAAAUGUUGAUAGUCAAUUUGAGAUGUCAAAAUAAAGAAGUGGAUGUCACAAAUCUACCAUAAAUUGUUGAGUCCUUUAUUGCUAAAUUAAUGUUCCAUCCUAGAAUUCUCCUUACUAUUAAAAUCCUUCUGAGUGUGUGAUGAAGUCCCUUAUCACCUAACACAGCUGGAGAUUACAAGACAAGGGGUCCUUCCUUCCCCACUAUAUGCUGGGGCCCCAGCCCACCCCAUCCUCCACCAUAAUGCACAGAUUUGCACACCUCUUCAAGAAGUGAAACAGAAGGCCAUUUGGCCACGACCUGGAAUUUGCUUACAAUUACUGCCCAAGAGAGACUGUCUCUCCAUUUUCAUUGAAAAUACCAAUAAUAGAGACGUCCCUGGCCAUCCAGUGGUUAAGAUCCUGUGCUUCCAAUGCAGGGAGCAUGAGUUUAAUCCCUGGCCAGCGAACUAAGAUGCCUCAUGCUACACAGCAAGGCCAAAAAAAAGAAUGCA
rnacentral:lncRNA from 1 species